rnacentral:rRNA from 1 species
AGUGAACGCUGGCGGUAGGCCUAACACAUGCAAGUCGAACGGCAGCACAGUAAGAGCUUGCUCUUACGGGUGGCGAGUGGCGGACGGGUGAGGAAUACAUCGGAAUCUACUUUUUCGUGGGGGAUAACGUAGGGAAACUUACGCUAAUACCGCAUACGACCUACGGGUGAAAGCAGGGGAUCUUCGGACCUUGCGCGAUUGAAUGAGCCGAUGUCGGAUUAGCUAGUUGGCUGGGUAAAGGCCCACCAAGGCGACGAUCCGUAGCUGGUCUGAGAGGAUGAUCAGCCACACUGGAACUGAGACACGGUCCAGACUCCUACGGGAGGCAGCAGUGGGGAAUAUUGGGCAAUGGGCGCAAGCCUGAUCCAGCCAUACCGCGUGGGUGAAGAAGGCCUUCGGGUUGUAAAGCCCUUUUGUUGGGAAAGAAAAGCAGCAGGUUAAUACCCCGCUGUUCUGACGGUACCCAAAGAAUAAGCACCGGCUAACUUCGUG